UACGAGAGGCCCAAACGUUAUUCGGAAUUACUGGGCUUAAAGAGUUCGCAGGCGGCGCAGAAAGUAGGGUGUGAAAGCCCUCGGCUUAACCGAGGAAUUGCGCUCUAAACUACUGUGCUUGAGGAACCUAGAGGUGAGCAGAACUGAUGGUGGAGCGGUGAAAUGCGUUGAUAUCAUCAGGAAUACCGGAGGCGAAGGCGGCUCACUGGGGGUUUUCUGACGCUGAGGAACGAAAGCCAGGGGAGCGAACGGG
rnacentral:rRNA from 1 species